UACGAGGGAUGCAAGCGUUAUCCGGAAUUAUUGGGCGUAAAGAGUUUGUAGGUGGUUAAAUGUGUUUAAUGUUAAAUAUUAAAGCUUAACUUUGAAUCAGUAUUAAAAACUAUUUAACUUGAGUAUGGUAGAGGUAACGGGAAUUUCCAGUGUAGCGGUGAAAUGCGUAGAUAUUGGAAAGAACACCAAUGGCGAAAGCACUUUACUAGGCCAAUACUGACACUGAGAAACGAAAGCUAAGGGAG
rnacentral:rRNA from 1 species